GAAAUGCGAUAAGUAGUGUGAAUUGCAGAAUUCAGUGAAUCAUCGAAUCUUUGAACGCACAUUGCGCCCCAUGGUAUUCCAUGGGGCAUGCCUGUUCGAGCGUCAUUUGUUCCCUCAAGCUCUGCUUGGUGUUGGGUGUUUGUCCCCGUCUCCGCGCGUGGACUCGCCCCAAAGUGAUUGGCAGCCGGCGUACUGGUCCCGGAGCGCAGCACAUGUCGCGCAAACGAGUGCCUUGGUACGGCGGCGUCCAUAAGCCCCUCUCUCACGCUCUUGACCUCGGAUCAGGUAGGGAUACCCGCUGAACUUAAGC
rnacentral:misc_RNA from 1 species